ensembl:lncRNA
UGCAUAUGUUAUUCCUUCUGUGGCAAGACAGUUCUGAGACCCUGCUUCUCCAAAACUUCAUCCAAAGUCUCCUUGGCAGAAUGACUUGCUCUUCCUUUUCCUCUACUGAUUGGACAUCUUCUUUUCUUUAUUUUUCGUCCCGUUUCGAGUGAUGGGAGCUAUCUUCUGAUGUGCUUGGCUGCAUGACACAUGAAGAUACAGCAUAUAUUUAAAGAACUAACACUAGUUCAAAGUACCUGCUUGCAAUUUUAAACGCAAGAAUCCAAUACACUUCUAAUGGCAGCAAGGAGAUUGGAAAAAGAAAAGAAAAGGAAAAAAGCACAUACAAAACAGCAAAUCAACAACAGCCAGGUGGAACAAUGUUAAUGUUUGCAGAUCCUGUUUCUCAAGAGGAAGGUUUAACUCUUUCUGCACACAGCCACAUUUCAGCCACCUUGCUGUCCCUGUACUUCCUUGUCAUGGCUGGAACUGGAAGCAGGUGGUACUGUGACAACAUAAGAAAACCCAGACUCAGGGUAAUUUCCUCCCACCUGACGGGAAGCUGGGCAUUUCAGAUGUCUCACAAGAAAGCAUAUGGACAUCAGGCUUCCAAUCUGAAUUUGCAAGCCCAGCGCUACACAAAGGGCAUGGGGAACCAUGAGAGAAGAGCUGCCUUGAUGCUCUUUUACACUUACAAACAUGCUCCGAAAUGAGCUUCUUUGUAUCGUUCCCGGAGACCCUGCCACACGCAGGCACACCUUACAGAGGACGUCUGGUGGAAACUAGGGAUUGGUGAGCUGGUUCAUAUAACAGGAGAACUGACCUGAACCUUCACUCAAGUUCAGAUCAGAUCCCGAAUGAAAUCUUGUUGGGAUUUCACAAAAAGUUUCAAUGACUUUCCCUCCUAUUAUUUAUCAUGAUUGUUCAUUUCUUCACUUCUGGUUUCCAGGUAUUAUUGGAACCCAAAAUGCUGUCAUGCUGUUGUAUUUCUGGAACUGAAAUUCAUGGGGGGACCACUGGUUUCCAUGAGCUUUCCAGACCAAUUUUGCAGACUCAAUGUUUGGAUAAAUAUCUGUGCCCAGAUUUUCAGAAAUACACAUGUGCAUCUGCACAUGCAAAAAUGUGUGAGCAUUUUCAGACCUGAAUGCACUAAUUAGCAUGUAUAGUUAUCACGGGUACCUGUGCAGAGGGUUGGUUAAAUCUUUUAUUAGUCAGUUAUGUGCACACUUAUCAUGACUGCGCACACUGUCGCAGUAACGCACAUACAAACAAAAUCAGAUGUACAGAUGUGCACCUAUAACUAUAUGCUACCUUAUGUGUGCAAUUCCGUUAGGGGGACCUGAACUUUUAUCUCAACUGAAAAUCAAACCUUUGGAGAUUUGCCCUGCACUAACUAAACCACCCAUCUUUCCCCAAUGUAUCCAUUACCACCAUUGGCUAUUACCAAGACAUUUUUCUUCAAGGAAAAAUUCUAGUGUCGUCAGCCAAUUCCUGUUGUCUGAUUCAUUAAUCACAAUCCAAGUAGUGAAUUGUGGGGGCCUGUAGCAAUGCGGCGACUCACUGGCACGGCGCCUCCUGCUGGUCAUCCUGGGAAUUAUCUCUGUCCACUCAGGAGCGCCCUCAGGAGCCGGUGUCUCGCUUGCCGCUGGCUCCGGUGUCCCUCCCGGACCGCCCCUUCUCUCGGGGUUCUUCCCCCUGCAGUACCCCACAGUA